UGAUAUGGGGGCGCGGUAUUCCAGCAGAUUUAUACCCGCAUAAUCUCGCGAUUCGAAUCGAAGUACUGUUUGGUCUUGGAGGUUUCUUGGGAAGAGGGAGUGCGGCAAGUAGUAUUCCUCUGGAUAUGGCGGACCACUCUUCGUGAAGUUUUGUUUGCAAAGACAAGGACCCCACAGGAGACCACUGUGACUUGAGGGCUGGACAGAAGGUUCUGGAAAGAAGCGUGCUGGACAACAGUGCGGAUGGUCAUAAAAAUCAAUGUGAGCACCAGACUGGUAGCCAUCCUCCAGCAGCAGCUUCAUCAGCUUGGCAGCAGACUCGCCGCAGGUCAGCAGCUUGCCUUCGUCAUGCAGGGCAAUCAGCGUCUUCCUCAGCUCCGGGUCUCGCGAAGUGGAUCGAGCCUGUACGUGCAUCUCUGUGUCGAGAGGACCUGUAAGGCAGGGAAAGGGAAAGUAUACUCAGAAAUAAACAAACAAUAAUAAUA